rnacentral:rRNA from 1 species
CCUACGGGGGGCAGCAGUGGGGGAUAUUGCACAAUGGGGGGAACCCUGAUGCAGCGACGCCGCGUGGGUGAAGAAGCGCCUCGGCGCGUAAAGCCCUGUCAGCAGGGAAGAAAAUGACGGUACCUGAAGAAGAAGCCCCGGCUAACUACGUGCCAGCAGCCGCGGUAAUACGGAGGGGGCAAGCGUGAUCCGGAUUUACUGGGUGGAAAGGGGGCGCAGACGGCGAUGCAAGCCAGGAGUGAAAGCCCGGGGCCCAACCCCGGGACUGCUCUUGGAACUGCGUGGCUGGAGUGCAGGAGGGGCAGGCGGAAUUCCUGGUGUAGCGGUGAAAUGCGUAGAUAUCAGGAGGAACACCGGUGGCGAAGGCGGCCUGCUGGACUGCAACUGACGUUGAGGCGCGAAAGCGUGGGGAGCAAACAGGAUUAGAUACCCCAGUAGUC